rnacentral:lncRNA from 1 species
UUGAAUGUAUGAUGAAAUUAAUAAAGAAGCAUGGACAUAAAAAGAUAUUACAAGAAACAAAAUACUAAAAGACAAUAAAAUAAUAAAAGAUAAAAGCUAAAAGAAAAUGAGAUACUAAAAAUACUAAAGAAAAAUGAAAUACUAAAAAAAAAAUGAAAAAAAAAAGCUACGUAUAAGUAUCGAACUCACUCCACCUAAGACUUAAAUACCACUCCUCUCCACCAGGCCACUUAACAACUAACUGUUAUUUUAAGACUAACCUAAAUAUAUAAACUAAAAUAAAUUAAAAAAAGGAUUAAAAU